GAUGAAUAACGCAGCGAAAUGCGAUAAGUAAUGUGAAUUGCAGAAUUCCGUGAAUCAUCGAAUCUUUGAACGCACAUUGCGCCCCCUGGCAUUCCGGGGGGCAUGCCUGUCCGAGCGUCAUUUCUGCCCUCAAGCACGGCUUGUGUGUUGGGUGCGGUCCCCCCGGGGACCUGCCCGAAAGGCAGCGGCGACGUCCGUCUGGUCCUCGAGCGUAUGGGGCUCUGUCACUCGCUCGGGAAGGACCUGCGGGGGUUGGUCACCACUAUAUUUUACCACGGUUGACCUCGGAUCAGGUAGGAGUUACCCGCUGAACUUAAGCAUAUCAAUAAGCGGAGGA
rnacentral:misc_RNA from 1 species